rnacentral:rRNA from 1 species
UCGAGGAUAUUUAGCAAUGGGCGAAAGCCUGACUAUGUGACACCGCGUGAGGGAUGAAGGUUCUCGGAUCGUAAACCUCUUUCGAUGGGAAAGAAACUUCCGGUUAACUGCCGGAACUGACGGUACCCAUAGAAGAAGCCACGGCCAACUCCGUGCCAGCAGCCGCGGUAAUACGGGGGUGGCAAGCGUUACUCGGAUUUAUUGGGUGUAAAGGGCAGGUAGGUGUUCCGCCAAGUUAGGAGUGAAAUCCUGCAGCUUAACUGCAGAACUGCUUCUAAAACUGGCGGAAUUGAGGACAGGAGAGGAAAGCGGAAUUCCCGGUGUAAGGGUGAAAUCUGUAGAGAUCGGGAGGAACACCUGUGGCGAAAGCGGCUUUCUGGUCUGUCCCUGACGCUGAACUGCGAAAGCUAGGGGAGCAAACAGG